CGAGGUGGGCGGGACGGGUGAGUAAUGUCGUAGGAACCGCCCGAUGGAGGGGGAUAACUACUGGAAACGGUAGCUAAUACCGCAUAACGUCGCAAGACCAAAGAGGGGGACCUUCGGGCCUCUUGCCAUCGGAUGUGCCCAGAUGGGAUUAGCUAGUAGGUGGGGUAACGGCUCACCUAGGCGACGAUCCCUAGCUGGUCUGAGAGGAUGACCAGCCACACUGGAACUGAGACACGGUCCAG
rnacentral:rRNA from 1 species